UUUCCGUAGGUGAACCUGCGGAAGGAUCAUUAUCGUACAAAACGUGAGGGGCAUGCGAGGGCCGUCGCUGACCCGAAAGGUCGUGCACGCCCGAGUGCCCUCACACACAUCCAUCUCACCCCUUUGUGCACCACCGCGUGGGUCCCCCUUUGGCUUGUUCGGAGGGGGGCUUACGUUUUCACACAAACUUUGUAUGCAGUGUAGAAUGUAUUUUUUGUUUUUGCGAUCACGCAAUCAAUACAACUUUCAACAACGGAUCUCUUGGCUCUC
rnacentral:misc_RNA from 1 species